UAGGGAAUCUUCCGCAAUGGGCGAAAGCCUGACGGAGCAAUGCCGCGUGAGUGAAGAAGGCCUUCGGGUCGUAAAACUCUGUUAUAAGAGAAGAACAAAUUGUAGAGUAACUGCUACAGUCUUGACGGUAUCUUAUCAGAAAGCCACGGCUAACUACGUGCCAGCAGCCGCGGUAAUACGUAUGAGGCAAGCGUUGUCCGGAUUUAUUGGGCGUAAAGGGAGCGCAGGUGGUUUCUUAAGUCUGAUGUGAAAGCCCACGGCUUAACCGAGGAGGGUAAUUGGAAACUGGGAAGCUUGGGUAGAGAAGAGGAAAGUGGAACUCCAUGUGUAGCGUUGGAAUGCGUAGAAAUAUGAAAGAACACCAGUGGCGAAGGCGACAGUCUGGUCUGUUACUGACACUGAGGCUCGAAAGCGUGGGGAGCAAACAGG
rnacentral:rRNA from 1 species